GUAGUCAUAUGCUUGUCUCAAAGAUUAAGCCAUGCAUGUCUAAGUAUAAGCAACUUGUACAGUGAAACUGCGAAUGGCUCAUUAAAUCAGUUAUCGUUUAUUUGAUAAUCCCUUACUACAUGGAUACCUGUGGUAAUUCUAGAGCUAAUACAUGCUUCAAGGAGUGGCUUUCGUCACUCUGCACUUAUUAGAUAAAAAACCAAUGCCCCUUUGGGGCUCCUUGGUGAUUCAUAAUAAUUUAGCGGACCGCAUUCCCUCGAGGAGGCGGUGGAUCAUUCAAAUUUCUGCCCUAUCAACUUUCGAUGGUAGGAUAGUGGCCUACCAUGGUUUCAACGGGUAACGGGGAAUA
rnacentral:rRNA from 1 species